GUCGGUGGUGUUAGCGGUGGGGUCACGCCCGGUCCCAUUCCGAACCCGGAAGCUAAGUCCACCAGCGCCGAUGGUACUGCACUCGGGAGGGUGU
rnacentral:rRNA from 1 species